rnacentral:rRNA from 1 species
CAGUAGCCGCGGGAAUACGUAGGGUGCGAGCGUUAAUCGGAAUUACUGGGCGUAAAGCGUGCGUAGGCGGUUUGUUAAGUCUGUUGUGAAAUCCCCGGGCUCAACCUGGGAAUGGCAAUGGAUACUGGCAAGCUAGAGUGUGAGAGAGGGUUGUGGAAUUCCGAGUGUAGAGGUGAAAUUCGUAGAUAUUCGGAAGAACACCAGUGGCGAAGGCGGCUUACUGGCUCAUACUGGACGCUGAGGUGCGAAAGCGUGGGGAGCAACCAGGAUUAGAUACCCCCGUAGUCCCUGUCUCUUAUAC